CAGUCGCCGCGGGAAUACGAAGGGUGCAAGCGUUAAUCGGAAUUACUGGGCGUAAAGCGUGCGUAGGCGGUUUGUUAAGUCUGUUGUGAAAUCCCCGGGCUCAACCUGGGAAUGGCGAUGGAUACUGGCAAGCUAGAGUGUGUCAGAGGAUGGUGGAAUUCCCGGUGUAGCGGUGAAAUGCGUAGAGAUCGGGAGGAACAUCAGUGGCGAAGGCGGCCAUCUGGGACAACACUGACGCUGAGGCACGAAAGCGUGGGGAGCAAACAGGAUUAGAUACCCCAGUAGUCCCUGUCUCUUAUAC
rnacentral:rRNA from 1 species